rnacentral:rRNA from 1 species
GAUGAACGCUAGCGGCGGGCUUAAUACAUGCAAGUCGAACGGUAACGGGUCUUCGGACGCUGACGAGUGGCGCACGGGUGCGUAACACGUAGGUAAUCAACCCUCUGGUUGGGGAUAACACUUCGAAAGGAGUGCUAAUACCCGGUAUGGCGCAGCGGUCUUCGGAUCGCGGCGAGAAAGACCCGCAAGGGUUGCCAGAGGACGAGCCUGCGGCCCAUCAGCUAGUUGGCGAGGUAACGGCUCACCAAGGCGAAGACGGGUAGCUGGUCUGAGAGGAUGAUCAGCCACACUGGAACUGAGACACGGUCCAGACUCCUACGGGAGGCAGCAGUGGGGAAUAUUGCGCAAUGGGCGAAAGCCUGACGCAGCCACGCCGCGUGAGCGAUGAAGGCC